rnacentral:lncRNA from 1 species
AUCAAGUGCCCCGUUAUCUAAUGCGCAUAACAAUCAGAAAUAAAUCACAUGUGUAUAAAUCAAUCUCAGCACAUUUCAAACACAUCACUGUGAUGAGGCAUUUCUUAAAAACAAAGUACACUUUCACUCGCUCAAAGGCAUUGGAUGAAUGCUCUUUUCAACAUUAAAAUGAAACUAUAUCAGACUGCCCCGAAUUGUGAAAUAUAAGU